rnacentral:rRNA from 1 species
GACCUUCGGGCCUCAUGCCAUCAGAUGUGCCCAGAUGGGAUUAGCUAGUAGGUGGGGUAACGGCUCACCUAGGCGACGAUCCCUAGCUGGUCUGAGAGGAUGACCAGCCACACUGGAACUGAGACACGGUCCAGACUCCUACGGGAGGCAGCAGUGGGGAAUAUUGCACAAUGGGCGCAAGCCUGAUGCAGCCAUGCCGCGUGUGUGAAGAAGGCCUUCGGGUUGUAAAGCACUUUCAGCGGGGAGGAAGGCGUUAAGGUUAAUAACCUUGGCGAUUGACGUUACCCGCAGAAGAAGCACCGGCUAACUCCGUGCCAGCAGCCGCGGUAAUACGGAGGGUGCAAGCGUUAAUCGGAAUUACUGGGCGUAAAGCGCACGCAGGCGGUCUGUCAAGUCGGAUGUGAAAUCCCCGGGCUCAACCUGGGAACUGCAUUCGAAACUGGCAGGCUAGAGUCUUGUAGAGGGGGGUAGAAUUCCAGGUGUAGCGGUGAAAUGCGUAGAGAUCUGGAGGAAUACCGGUGGCGAAGGCGGCCCCCUGGACAAAGACUGACGCUCAGGUGCGAAAGCGUGGGGAGCAAACAGGAUUAGAUACCCUGGUAGUCCACGCCGUAAACGAUGUCGAUUUGGAGGUUGUGCCCUUGAGGCGUGGCUUCCGGAGCUAACGCGUUAAAUCGACCGCCUGGGGAGUACGGCCGCAAGGUUAAAACUCAAAUGAAUUGACGGGGGCCCGCACAAGCGGUGGAGCAUGUGGUUUAAUUCGAUGCAACGCGAAGAACCUUACCUGGUCUUGACAUCCACAGAACUUUCCAGAGAUGGAUUGGUGCCUUCGGGAACUGUGAGACAGGUGCUGCAUGGCUGUCGUCAGCUCGUGUUGUGAAAUGUUGGGUUAAGUCCCGCAACGAGCGCAACCC